AGAAACAACAACAAACGAAAACAAUCACAGACAUUUGAAUGGUUUCCAGUACAAAUAACAUUACAAACCAUCAGCUAACCAUUAAAACCACUACCAUUACCAGUCCUUAAUGGUAUCCAUUAGACAUAACCUGCCACCGAUAGAAGGCAAUAAAUUAUCAGUAGAGACCCACUUACAGUUUCCAUUAAAACCAGUACAAUUCCCAUGAAAACCAUUACAAAUUCUACGAGGGUUUCGAUUGUUUUGGAGCAGGCAUGGCAUUCGUUCUGUACAGCGUAUUCGUUUGUGCUCGUUUUCAUUAAGGGUGCCGAUAAUUCUAGACCUCGAAGUGAGGCCAAGACGAAAGCGAAGUGAGUAGUUAAGGUGUUAAGGGUUUCGUUUAAGAGCCCAAGGCGAACUGAUCGAGGAAAUUACGCAUGUAAGAGUAAAUAAGGUGAAAACCUACUUUACAGACGACGUUUUUGGGUUUUUUUUUUUCUUCCACAUGUAUACAGUCUACACAAGUAAUAUCUGAAAAAUGCUUAUUUUCUAUUCUGUUCUGAUCAGACUGGGUGAUGUGAUGUGAUGGAGGACAUAAAGUUCACUCUGUAAGCUCAGUAAAAGGUCCAGAGGCUCAAACACCAAACAGGAGGUCGGUUAGCUUCAAAUGCCAGAGUAUCACCAGCUACUCGGGUCUCCAACGACAGCCGGAGAAUUUGGCUGUUAGCGCGGCGAUACCGUCUCCUCGGUGCAGUUUGUCAGCUUACAGUGUAUGUGUCGAGCUAUUUAUACCAGCUGAGAUGUGGCUGGAAAAGCACACAGCUCAUCGAGCGUGCCGUUUAACGUUCAGCGCCUGUAAUCUCCUGCACAUAAACACCUUGGAAUUAUUUUUAGGGUUCGCUAAACCUCUCCAGACAUCUGUAGGUCACUGAAAACGAUACAUCAGAGGCUGCAUGGCUCAGACCAAUUGGGAUUCUUAUGCUCUACUUCAGCGAGGAUCCCAGUGGAACCCAGUGUGGUCUUCUGCCGUUCCAGCUCAUCCACCUCAAGGUUGGAUGUUUGGUGCAUGCUGAGAUGCUUUUCUGCUCACCACGCAUGCCUGGAAGUUGGGGUCAGCGCGCAGGGUCAGCCAUGAUACAGCGCCCCCUGGAGCAGAGAGGAUUAAGGGCCUUGCUCAAGGGCCCAACAGUGGCAGCUUGGCAGCUCCGGGGCUCGAACCCCUGACCUUCCGAUCAGUAACCCAGAGCCUUAAUCGCUAAACCACCGCUGCCUCGUGAUUGGCUGGUUAGAUAACUGCAUGAAUGUUCAUGUGUACAGGUGUUCCUAUAAACUGAGCAGUGAGUGUAAAUGAGUUGGAUUAAAUGCAGGUUUAAACCCUCACCUCUUUCUUGAAGGUUCUAUUCGUUGACCCCCUGCCGAGUUGUUGGAUUUUAACAGGCCGAACGUAACAACGGUUUAAUAUUCAAACCCAAGUGGACAGUAAAUAAGAAGCAGGUUUGUACUGAGGUCGCUCUGAAUACAAGUACCGACAGUCUUCAGUCUUCAGUAAUAUCACCCUGUUCCUUUGUUACAAAUCAGUUGAAACGUACGGUAGUGAAGUACAGAUUCCGUCUUGUUGAAGACUCCCUGUCGAUGUACCCGUAAAAUACAUUUUUUUCCCCCAUCGUUAUUGUUAGCACUCAUAAAUCAUCCUCAGGUCAGCAGCAUAAAGAAGAAGG